rnacentral:tRNA from 5 species
GGGCGCGUGGCUCAGCUUGGUUAGCGCGCACGGCUGAUAACCGUGAGGUCAUGGGUUCGAAUCCCAUCGUGCCCA